rnacentral:rRNA from 1 species
UCGCAAAGAAGCGCUUCGGCGACCCAGAUAGGGGACCUCCUCUUCGAACAUGCAUGACGAAAUGUUGCGCCUGUCGAGGAGUUCCAGUGGCUCGGGCUGGUGUUGUUCGUUGACGUUCCGUUCCCCGGCACCGGAGCAUGGACCGGCGCCAUCAUCGCGUCUGUCCUGGGCAUGCCGUUCUGGUCAGGCUUGUCCGCCAAAUUUGUGGGAGUCAUCCUAGCAGGGUUGCUGGUAAACUUGCUCAUGAAUCUCAGUCUGAAUUAG